ensembl:snRNA RNVU1-8 RNA, variant U1 small nuclear 8
ACAUUUACCUAGCAGAAGAAAAAUCGUGUUUACGAAGGUGGUUUUCGCAGGGCGAAGCUAAUUCGUGCAACUUCCCCAAAUGUGGGAAGCUCGACUGCAUAAUUUGUGGUAGUGGGAGACUGCGUUCGCUCUUUUCCCCCG